rnacentral:rRNA from 1 species
CGCCAGAGCCAUACCUCCCUUCAGUUUCCCACUGAAGCUAAGCAGGGUUGAAUCUGGCCAGUACCUGGAUGGGAGACCUCAUGGGGAAAACUAAGGUUGCUGGAGG